rnacentral:rRNA from 1 species
GACGGAAGGUGCAAGCGUUGCUCGGAAUCACUGGGCGUAAAGGGUGCGUAGGCGGCUUGGUAAGUUGGGUGUGAAAGCCCCGGGCUCAGCCCGGGAAGGGCACUCGAAACUGCCGAGCUGGAGUGCCGGAGGGGAGAGUGGAAUUCCUGGUGUAGCAGUGAAAUGCGUAGAUAUCGUAAGGAAGACCAGUGGCGAAGGCGAAUCUCUGGACAGUUACUGACACUGAGGC